rnacentral:rRNA from 1 species
CGGUCCAGACUCCUACGGGAGGCAGCAGUGGGGAAUAUUGCACAAUGGGCGCAAGCCUGAUGCAGCCAUGCCGCGUGUGUGAAGAAGGCCUUCGGGUUGUAAAGCACUUUCAGCGGGGAGGAAGGCGUUAAGGUUAAUAACCUUGGCGAUUGACGUUACCCGCAGAAGAAGCACCGGCUAACUCCGUGCCAGCAGCCGCGGUAAUACGGAGGGUGCAAGCGUUAAUCGGAAUUACUGGGCGUAAAGCGCACGCAG